rnacentral:misc_RNA from 1 species
AGCAGCCGCGGUAAUUCCAGCUCCAAUAGCGUAUAUUAAAGUUGUUGCAGUUAAAAAGCUCGUAGUUGAAUUUCGGGAUCAAUUAAUCGGUCGUGCCUCUGGUACGCACUGGUUUUAUUGGUUUCUCCCUUCUGACGAACCAGGAUGUCAUUAAUUUGGUGUCUUGGAGAAUCAGGACUGUUACUUUGAAAAAGUUAGAGUGUUUAAAGCAGGCUAACGCUUGAAUACAUUAGCAUGGAAUAAUGAAAUAGGACGUUUGAUCCUAUUUUGUUGGUUUCUAGGAUCGACGUAAUGAUUAAUAGGGAUAGUUGGGGGCAUUAGUAUUCAAUUGUCAGAGGUGAAAUUCUUGGAUUUAUUGAAGACUAACUACUGCGAAAGCAUUUGCCAAGGAUGUUUUCAUUAAUCAAGAACGAAAGUUAGGGGAUCGAAGACGAUCAGAUACCGUCGUAGUCUUAACAUAAAC